rnacentral:rRNA from 1 species
CCUACGGGAGGCUGCAGUGGGGAAUUGUUCGCAAUGGGCGCAAGCCUGACGACGCAACGCCGCGUGGAGGAUGAAGGUCUUCGGAUUGUAAACUCCUGUUGCCCGGGACGAAUGGCUCCGACCUAACACGUCGGAGUGUGACGGUACCGGGUGAGGAAGCCCCGGCUAACUCUGUGCCAGCAGCCGCGGUAAUACAGAGGGGGCAAGCGUUGUUCGGAAUUACUGGGCGUAAAGGGCGCGUAGGCGGCCUUCUAAGUCAGACGUGAAAUCCCCGGGCUCAACCCGGGAACUGCGUCUGAGACUGGAAGGCUCGAAUCCGGGAGAGGGAUGUGGAAUUCCAGGUGUAGCGGUGAAAUGCGUAGAUAUCUGGAGGAACACCGGUGGCGAAGGCGGCAUCCUGGACCGGUAUUGACGCUGAGGCGCGAAAGCCAGGGGAGCAA